rnacentral:piRNA from 1 species
AGUGCUAAUAAGGUAAACAACUCGAUGUUC